GGUAUAGGUCAGUGGUGGAGUGUGUGCUUAGCAUGCAUGAGGUCCUGGGUUCAAUCCCCAGUACC
rnacentral:tRNA from 1 species